UAGUCAAACUUCUUUUAAAGAGGCAAGAUA
rnacentral:piRNA from 1 species